CUCAACAGACAAGGGGACAGACGUCGGAUCUCAUCCGAUGUUUGUGCUCCAAACCUCCGUCUGGUUCAGAUGGCCCUACGACUCCAUGAUGACUGACCUUAGAAAGAGCAGGCGGAGUUUGUUUUAUUCAAACGUGAAGAAACGCUCUGGAAGUUUAAUAUCAGAAAGAACACAACCAACUUUUUUAGCACGUGGCUUUAAAAUAACGAUUGAAAAUACCAGAAGCAUGAAGAAAGUUCCGGACCGGAACGCCCCCACACGUCCUUCAGUCAGACGCAGACUGGACAACAACAUCAGAGACACAACCACUGCAUUUGGUCAUCAGAGGAACUGCUAGUUCUCCAGAUAUGCAUCUCGCUUAUCGCAGUCCACCCUAAGUCCACUGCAUCCUUCAAAGUAAAAGCCAGACUUACUGCUCAUUUUGCUUGUUUGCUUCCUCCCUGCUUUAAAAUGACCCACUUUCAAAUGUUACAUUUUUUAAGGAAACA